rnacentral:misc_RNA from 1 species
AACUUAAAUUUAACAUUGAUGUGCUAGAACUUCCUGGUCACUAGCCCCAUAAAGACAUGUGAUGAGUGUUUCUUAUCCUUAAAAGUUAUAUUAAAAAACAAUCAUCCAAACAUCAUUACGUAAACACCAUUUUAUUCUCUUCUUGUGGAUUUUCAUUUACGAUCAGUGAUCUUCUCUUUAACUCCUCCUAGCGGUCAUAAUUCAGGAGACUGAUAGAUAAUUGGUUACCGGGCAUAGAGAUAUAACCCUAUUACAAAUUACAGGUUUACAACUG